ensembl:lincRNA
UCAUUCACCUCCAGUCAAAACACCCUGGGACAUCCUGGGGCCCAGAGUAUCCUGCAAGGCUCAUGUGUGACCUCCUGGGAAGCAGGUGGCUAUUGAGCUUGGCUGUCUCUCCCAAGGAUGGGGCAGAGGGGCUGACCUUGGAGCGCCAGGAAGAACAGCUGAGCUGGGCUAGGUUGGGUCUGUCUCCAUCCUGUAUUUGUGGUAAGCACGGGCUUCAGGAUAUUCUACCUGGGCACAGCUGUGGAAACUUCCUCGGGCCUUAGAUUCGCAUCUUUAGGGAUCGGCACCCAGGCAGGUUAGUUCCUCCUUCCCAGGUAAGGCAUGGCACGGGGAUGGCUGUGCCACUGAAACCUUUUCUGAAGAGCUAGGUUCUUUCUCUCCUUUCCUUUCCACUUCAUGGAAGGAGCAGGGGCGUUAGAAGGCUGACAGUGACCUUUCUCCUGCUUGGGCCAAAGAAGUCUAGCUCUAAUUUAUGAGACCCCAAGACAACCUUGCAUUUCUGAAGAGCCGGUGAGAUCACCUCAAGAAUAAACUAAUUCAAAGUCACUUCCAGUUACCCAAGGACUACCAUGCAGAUCUUAGCAUCGAAUGAAUUGCAACCUCCUUAAUAUUUUAAAGACCUUUUAGCACUUAAAAAAUAAAUAAAUAAAGGGGUGGUUCCAAUACUAUAAUUCCUGGUAGGGCACCAGGGUGGACCCCCAGGACACUUCCUGUUGGAGGAGCCUUGCCCUAGAAGACAUAUGUAGCACUAGAGUCCCAUGGAGAGUCGUGAGUCCCCAGAUGCAUGACCUCUCUGCAUCUUACUCUCCCCCUUUCUACAUGGAGGAAACAGUAGUUCUGAUUUCAGAAUUGUUAAGAUCGACAACUUGGACUUAGUGAGUGAUACAACGUGCCUGCCCAGUACUGCCUCAACCAGUGAGCUAGCUACUGCUGAAACUAAACAGGGAGGAACACUGAGGGAGAAGGUGAGUCGGUCUCCAGGCCACCCUGUGGCCCAGAGACAGAGUCAUUCAUUGUUGGGAUGUUUGAAAGAGGGAUUGCCAGCCAGAAAUCAAAUGGACGGGUAGGGGCUGAAGAGGGAAGGGUCAAUGCUUGCAGAUCUGCGAAUAUCAGAGGGAAGCUCCCGGAUGGCGCCUCUUCUCUCUGAACCUGGGGCCACAGGCAAAUCGGCUGCUGGGGCAUAGGGAAAGUACCUAAGAGCAGGAUUAAGUAGAAGUCUGUUUGGGGCUCUGCUCAGUCAUUUACCCUUGGCUACCCAGACAUGGGAUAGUAACAGCCAGUCGUGGCCUCCACCCCACCCUCAGACACUCAGAGAGACACUGGACCUGCUUUCCAAGAACUAACUAGUCUCUCAAUAUGAGUGGAUUUUAUAUAAUGGGGUAAUGCUCAAAGCCCACCUCAGCAUCACCCAGAGUGCUCUGGAGGGCGUUGAAACGUGGGGUAGAUGGGCCUCACCUGAGCUUGUUGAUACAGAAGAAUCUGGACCAGUGGAUCGUGAGCCUUCUGAGGGUCACAUAUCAGAUAUCCUGCACAUCAGGUAUUUACAUUAGGAUUUCAUAACAGUAGCAAGAUUAUAGCUGUGAAGUAGCAACAAAAUAAUUUUGUGGUGGGGGGGGUCAAAACAACAUGAGGAACUGUAUUAAAGGGUCAUAGCAUUAGGAAGGUUGAGAACCUCUGCUCUAGACGCUAUUGUGAAAAUGAGAAUUUACAUUUGUAAUUAGUUCCUCUAUUGGUUGCUAUUCUCGUUCUCACAGAUGGACUGCCUCUCCUUUGAUUGCUGGCCUGUUAUGCCUGGGACUGCUGCAGAAGGUUAGCCCCUUCUGACGUUCCUGUUUAACCAUCUACAGGCCCUAUCCGUAAUGCCAUCCGAUCCAGAGGGCUACCUCGUGGGGAUGCAGACCUCCUACAAACAGGCACACCGAGCACCAGACACCCAGCACAGUCACCCUGGUGCUCCACUCUCAAAAACAAAAGGAGGAUGGAGAGCCACUGGACACAUCAGGAAGACCGGCCAUAUGAGAAAGAAAUAUGAGAACAACCAACCUCAUAGGGAAAAUAAAUAUUUCAGAAAGCAGAAGAUAAUUCCUCAAAAUAUUAACCAGUGUCUUCAGAGAAAUGAAGGUCUGAGGCUGUGGGAAAGGAUUCACACAGUAAAGACAGAAGCUUAGAAAUUAAACACGAUAAUUUAAAUCAAAAUUUUAAUUAAGCUGAUCCAGGUGGUGCACACCCUUAAUCCCAACCCUCAAGAGGCAGAGACUGGUGAACCUUUGUGAGUUUGAAACCAAUUUGGUCUACAUAGGGAGUUUUAGGCCAGCUAGAGCUGCAUAGUGAAAUAUUUUCUC